AUUUUUGGAAGUAAAAGUCGUAACAAGGUCUCCGUAGGUGAACCUGCGGAGGGAUCAUUACACAAAUAUGAAGGCGGGCUGGAACCUCUCGGGGUUACAGCCUUGCUGAAUUAUUCACCCUUGUCUUUUGCGUACUUCUUGUUUCCUUGGUGGGUUCGCCCACCACUAGGACAAACAUAAACCUUUUGUAAUUGCAAUCAGCGUCAGUAACAAAUUAAUAAUUACAACUUUCAACAACGGAUCUCUUGGUUCUGGCAUCGAUGAAGAACGCAGCGAAAUGCGAUAAGUAGUGUGAAUUGCAGAAUUCAGUGAAUCAUCGAAUCUUUGAACGCACAUUGCGCCCUUUGGUAUUCCAAAGGGCAUGCCUGUUCGAGCGUCAUUUGUACCCUCAAGCUUUGCUUGGUGUUGGGCGUCUUGUCUCUAGCUUUGCUGGAGACUCGCCUUAAAGUAAUUGGCAGCCGGCCUACUGGUUUCGGAGCGCAGCACAAGUCGCACUCUCUAUCAGCAAAGGUCUAGCAUCCAUUAAGCCUUUUUUUCAACUUUGACCUCGGAUCAGGUAGGAAACCCAACCUU
rnacentral:rRNA from 1 species